GGCUGUUCUGAGUGCAGUGGUAUUUACAAGUAAUUGAUUACAACUAGUUACAGAUGUCUUUGUGCUACUCCACUCACACUGCUUCACUUGACUGGCCUAAG
rnacentral:Y_RNA from 1 species